AUUGAAAAUUCUAUACAGAGCCUGAUAAAAAAGAAAACAAAGCCCUUAAUGAUGCCUGUAGUAUGGAAAGCAGGCAAAUGUCCACUCCUUUGAGUGCUUAUUCCUAAGUGGUGAGGCCUUUCAGAGCCAACCAAGUGACCCACAAUUACCCAGCACAGCAGAGCUGCACAUGGGCUUCCAUGUGAAUGCACUCAUCUGCACCAGAUACCUGCUGGCAUCAGCAGUCCUUACACACAGCAAAGGAGAGCAUCACACCAGCUUACACCACGCUCUGGGCCUGCAGGUACUGCUGCUUCUUUGUUAGGAAUAAAAAGGAUGAGACCAAAAUUGACCAGUUGCUUUUGGGUUUGACCUUCAUUAUCAAACAGGGAAUGCUGAGUUGCAUAGUGUGCACACUGCAGAAGAUGAGUUAUUUGAACAGAGGAUACCAGAGCCUUGACUGCACUGCGUUAGGGCAGUGACAGCACACAGGGAUAUGCCAGACCCAGAGCAUAGGCCAGGUGCAGAGGCUGCAUCAAAGCCCUGAGCAGCUCUGAUAUCCAUUUCCAGAGCUCUGGGCAGAGCGCGGAGAUGUUACGGCCAUUCGGACAGCUGCAAAUUAUUUGUUCAUUCAUUCAUUUUCCGUGGGCAAAAAUCCCAAAUCAACCCGGAAAGAAAACCCACCCUGGGACACCAGCCCAAGCUGUGGGUGUCAAGAUUCGCUGCUGCGGGAGCAGAAAGGCACUUUGUGCAGCCACACACCUCAUAAAGAGAGGACAGGAAAUUUCAUGGGAGCAAAGACAAUGGCCUAAUUUUUUCCUGCCAGUGUCAAAACAAUGCUCUCGAAGAGCCAGAAGCCAUGGUCUGUGAGAACUAAAUUGGUGGUCCCCAUCCGGUUGCUCUGGAAUAACAGCCCUGUCACCACAUGGCACAGAGCAGCAGUGCCAGCGCAGUCCCAUGAGCCACCAAAGGCUGUGCAAGGAGAAGUGGGAGUGGGGCUUCUGGCCCUGUAUUGCUGGGCAGGGCAAUGAUGGGGCAGGGACUGAGCAAGGAUGGCUGUCCCACUCCAGGGAAACCACAGCAAUGGUCAGAAACAGGAGUUUUUGGAAAUGAGGCAUUACCUCUAGGAACCACGGAGCUCAGCAAGUUGUAUCUCGCAUGGAAAGGAGCUGAUUAAAGCAGUAAGUUUGUUGCUGCUUGAUGACUGCAGCUCAAACCCUUCAAUAUCCCACUGCUGGUAGCCAGAGGCAGGAGUUCUGGCAGAACCAAGGCCCUGUGAGGUGACAAAUCUGAAUACCAGUGUGUUGGGACACCAAGCAAGUAGAGAAGUGAGUGAAAACAAAGGCUUUUAAGGCAAACUUAUCUUGUUCCCACCCUGUCUGGUAUGAAAGAAGCUAAAGACACAGGGCAAGUUUUCCUCAAAAUGUCACAUAUUUAGUUGAAUCAGUUUAAGGACAGAAGGUUCAGAAAUGAUAGGAAAACUCCACUCAGCCAACUCUAAAGUGUCCCAUCACUGCUGCUGUGAAGUCUCUCCUGGACCGACCAAAGCAAACUGGAUCUCAUGUUAUUCUGCUCCCUGUGCCCACCAGGGCCAUGCAGUGCCACACAGUGCCGCCGGCCGGCAGUGCACCAGCAUGGCAGUGGUGGCCAUACAGAAAUCAGGGUCCGAAUUUCCUGGCACAUGCAAAAACAAACCCAAAGAAUUGGAUCCCAAGGGACAGUUUUAAUGAAGUGGCGGCUCAACGCCACUCAGAAUACUACAAAAAAUCCCAGAAAGUAGCGUGCAAUUAUGCAUCUACAAACACCAUUUAGGCUGAUGACUCAAAAUAUUCAUUGAUUUGAAAUACAUUGCCUGAAUGCAUUUUGCAUAACAUUGGUGUAUAUUUGUGUGUAUAGUAUUUGUUAGACUUACAAAUACAUGGAGAAGGCACAGGUAUACGUAUCCACUUCUAGGAACGAAUGGCUAAGUGGCAGAGCCAUUCUUUCACAUGGGCAAAGCAAAGGUUUCACUGCUUUUAUUUCAUUUUAAUCUUAUACAAGUAAUGCUUUAGGAAAUGUUCAUUAUCACCAACGCUCUCAUCGUGGUCUCAAGUCUGUAAUGCCACGAAGGAAGCCUCCGCUGCACAGAACUGACUCUACCGGGUUGCUGAAGCUGAAGUUCCCUGAGUAUUCCUCUCCAUCAAAGACAUUAUGAGUAAUAAGAGUAGCUGCAAUUGUGGCUUUUUAGAAAGUGCUCUUAGCAGUGUGUUCUAGAAAGGCUAUUUUAAAGGUCACAUUGCUGAGCCCGUGGCGCGCUGCCUUGGCGAGGUGGUACGAAGUGAGUGCGUUUCAGCUGGCAUCUGGUUUAGACUAUAUUUUCAUCUGUGGAAAUUGAAAAAUUCUUGGAAGAACUCCACAGUCUACAAAAAAAAAAAAAAUGUUCUUCUUGAAAACAAGUUAUGAGUUAAUGAUAAUUCCACUCGGGGCAGGAAGGAAGGGCUUAGGCUGGACAGCCCCGGGUGGCUGGGAGGACGCUAACCACGGCCCCGCUCCCAUCCCAGCCCUGUGGAAUGGGAUGAGUGCCCCAUGCCAGGAGAUAGAUGGAUUAACCAUACCCCACAGAAGCGAACUGCUUUUAUAAGCACUGUGUAAUUCUGAAUAUGUGAAAACUUUCUGACUGGAGUUCAAAUCCAGCUUUUCCUCUAAUACAUCCCUAGAAGGAACUUCAAAUAUUAAAUCCUGAGAAAUGUAGACGAAACCACGUAAAAGCUGCAGACAUCCUAAAUAUGCACAAUGGGAUCCCUUAUGCUGAAGACACAGUGAAACAUUCAUAACCAUUACAGUAAAACCCAAAUUCUGACUUGUUCCUGCACUUAGCUAUGACUGGAUUACAAUUCUGGUUAAAGCAUCCAUCUGCCUAAAAAUAAACAUUUGUAAUGACCUUAAUGAGCUACGGAGUGAUCCUGUGUGGAAGUCUCUUCAUGGGAAAAAAACAUGUCACUCUUUGGAAGGACCUGCUGCAACUCCCACGUGAAGAACUGCCUGUGGUGCUGGAAAUAACCAACACGGAGCUGUAAACUUACGGAGGCAGAUGAUAGAGUCAUAGAAUGGCCUGGGUUGGAAGGCAUCAUCCGAAUCCAACCCAGGUUAGAAGGGCCCUUGCAGCACCCCCAGCCCCACCCCCAACAUGGGCUGGUUGCCCCCCAGCUCAGGCUGACCAGGGCCCAUCCAUGGCCUUGGGCAUCUCCAGGGAUGGGGCAGCACAGCUCUGGACAGCACUGCCAGCACCUCACCACCCUCCCUGCAUGGAUGGAGGAUGGCUCACAUGAAUUGUCACAGGCAGAGGCAGCAGGAGCACUUUGUAGCUCUGAAGCAGUCCCGCCAGGUGCCACGGCUCUGUGCCUGCAAACCAGGCACCUGGAACAGCCCUGCAGGAGAAGGGUGGGAGCAGUGAGGUGUGUGUAUCCCACCGCCCCUCAGCCAGCAGUGUGGGGCACAGGGCAGCCACAGCUCCGCAGCGGGGCUGGAGGAAGUCCUGCACUCAUAAAUGUUUCAUUGCACUUCUGAAAAACAGACGGCCACUUUUUAGCAGUCUAUGAAACAAUAUUGUAAACAGUUCAACUAUUCUCCCCUCUGGUGCUGGGAUCUGUGAGAACAAUGCGCAUUCAGGGACAGAGCUCUCUGCCUUGGCUGAUCGCUGAUCGCCAGCACAGGCGCGGCGCGACCCACUGCUCCGCUGCCACCAGGAAGGGACAUCGGGGCUGCAUGGACAGACAUGGCUGUAAGGUGAACAGCGGGCAGAGGGGGAUCGGGGUGAGCAAUGAUCUGCAGCUGAUGCCGGCACUGGGGCUGAUCCUUGGAGCCGGGGAGCACGCGGCGCUGGGCGCGCUGAAAAACAAAACUGCAAUAAAACGGGCAGAUGGUCCUGAAGGAAGGGGGGAGGGGGUGCAGAAAGGAGGAAACGAGAUAUUAAAAAAUGUAAAUGAGAGGGAAAUUAUAAAAAGCAUAAAGCUCCUGUCCCUCGGGGAACAGCUGUGUAUGCUAAUCCCUCCUGGGCUGCUCCUUUUGGAUCUCCCUUCCUUCCUUCCUCCGUCCCUCUCUAAUAGCUCCCUUGUUCCUGCUGGACAAAACUGGCCCUUUGUGGCUGCUCUCAGAACAACAUUAAAAACAGGAAUAGGGAAAUUGUAAACAGGAGGCUUUUGGCCUACAGGCCAAGGCACACACCGGCCUCUGAGGUCUACUUCAUGCUAAGCAAAGAAACAGAUCUUUGUUGCUGAAGGGAUUAGGGCUGCGGGAUUUCUGAGGCACGGCGGAGGCAUUCAGCUGGCCUGAAGUAGGGCCUUUGUAAAGAGAUACCUCCAUUAUAGAUCCGCGAGCGGAAAUCGUUCGUGCUCUUUAUACAAUCUGGGUAAUGCGAUAUUGUUGGGCGGCUGAAGGGCUCUGGUGAAGCAGGGCCCUAUCUACUCAAUGGCAAAUUCUUCAGCAGCUAAAUAGAUGGUGGUAUAAUUACCUUUACGGGUGGGGGGAGAGGGCAGCAAUCCGUCUUUAACCCUUAGGUGCUUCAUGAGAGCAACCAGGGCGAGCUCGGAGGAGUCCGCUCAGACAGCGCGGUCACUACAGGCAUCCAGAUGAGUAUCCACCACCCAGGGCAGUUUAAUCUCAAAUUCCUCACAAAGCAGCUAUGCACGCCAUACAACAUUCAUUGCCCGCAUUCCUUCCCAGACCACCUCUGCUCUGUGCCCUACAUGUGGUACCAACAACUCCCAUUUGGACAACCUGCGGAGCCCUCCACCAACCCCACCGACCACACUGCAGUGCCAAUGGCUGAGCUGAGCCAAACCUCUGUUCCCGGAUCUGAAUGCAGAUACAUCUGGAACAGGAAACUAAUGCGCUUCCAAACCUCGAGUUUUUCACUUUAAACCUGAGAUAAAGAGGAAACUUUGUUCUAAAGACAGAUGUAUCAUAACAAAGGACAAACAUAUUACCAGAGGGGCCAAACCACAGCGCUCCUGAGAAUCCAGUACCUCAAAGAGCCAGCAAAACAUGAAGAGGUGC
ensembl:lncRNA